CGGCGGCGGCGGCGGCGGCGGCUCCGACCCGCUCGCUGAUCCAGCAGAUCUAGUCCUUCGUCUGCUCGACCUACUGCAUCGGCUAAUAGCACUAGGUGCACGUCGCGCCGGCUCUUCCCGUGAUGAACCAGAUCGGCGGGGCCUCUUGGACGGCUCACUCGGUUCCCUAAUCGCCCCGUGCGCUUGCUCGCUCAGCGAUGUGGCUCCUUAUUUCAGGGCGCCGGUGUGGCGAUGAUGAGCCAGCCGAGGUCCAGCGUUGCAGGCUCUCUGGCAUGGCUCCCCUGUCCCAGGACUCGGCCGCCCUGAGCUCAAUCGGCGCAGCAGCAGCUGUAGACCGAGAGGGAUCAGGUGUCUUCGUCUUAGGGGACGGUUCCCCCAGGCGCGGUGGUCGGCCGUACUUCGCACUCCAUCUUCCAGAGGUGUGCAGCGCUGCUGAGGCGCUCCUGAGCGGCGACAGUUGAAGGAUAUGAAGGCACGCGGCAAAACAUGGAACAGCUGGCGCAGCUGCGCAACGCUGAAGCAAUGAUGUUCUCAACUCUUAGAAAUCACCCAAGAAUCGAGAUUUGCUUUAGUAACUACCCUGGAAGGUAUCCUGUUUGGAGAAAGAAUUAUCAUAUGGAGUUUGUGUUGGAGCAUGUGCUGGGAUAUUUAAUGUUAUAGAGUAUAUAAACUGUCUCAUUAGACAUGCAGAUUUUAGCCACAUUUUGUAACCGUGUUAUAUCUUGGAAUCACGUUUAGAAAAAAUGAAAAUUAUGUAUGAGUAGUGGGUGCCAUUACUGUUGGGUUGUGGAUUAAUAUCGUUUGAUAGUUUGUAUCAUAUGCAUGUUGAUAUGUUGAAUUAAAUGUUGUGAAACAUGCCAAUUUGAAGGAUAUUUGGCCAACAAUGGCAACGGUCAA